rnacentral:rRNA from 1 species
CACGUAGGGCGCAAGCGUUGUCCGGAAUUAUUGGGCGUAAAGAGCUCGUAGGCGGUCUGUUGCGUCCGCUGUGAAAACUCGGGGCUUAACCCCGAGCCUGCAGUGGAUACGGGCAGACUAGAGGUAGGUAGGGGAGAAUGGAAUUCCUGGUGUAGCGGUGAAAUGCGCAGAUAUCAGGAGGAACACCAAUUGCGAAGGCAGCUCGCUGGGACGUUACUGACGCUGAGACGCGAAAGCGUGGGGAGCAAACAGG